UUAGUCUGUGGUUAAGCUAGCUCAUUUCAUGUACUCUGUGACACAGCAAUUUACUCUUUCAUUAAAAAAUCAUUAAUGGUGUCGCUCAUGAAUUUUUCUUAUGCAGGCUACACAGUGACAGGAAUUCAAGCAAAUGUUGACCUCUGAGUGUUGCACAUAGAGAUGAAACUGAACGAAAGGACAUUUCCAUAGCUGCUCAUAGUCUCUGUACCUUGAAGUCAAGAUGAAGCGCUAGUGCUGAGAGUGGCACCCAGCAAUUUAUCCGGACCAGAAAAGAGAGUCAUGCUUAUACCCAACUAGCAAAAGCUUUGAGUUUAUUGAAUCCAGCAAAGUUUUCUCUGCUCUGCAAAGAGUCUCUUGCCUUGGUCCUUUCACAGUUGCUAAUAAGGGAAACACUGAAAUCAGCAAGUUCCUGACUGGGAAUAAGCUAAAAGUGGCUUUUGAAUAUUUUUUUCCGCCUACUUAGCAAAUUUCUCUUGUGACAAUUGGUUGUUAUUUGGGGUUUCAUAUGGUGAGGAGGAAGCACAAGAAAUAUUCAAUAAUUUGGGGCAUAAAUAUUCCCUUUAUAUAUUUGUAACCGUUAUUUUGAUUCUAUUUGAGAUUUGUGAUUGAUCCUUGGCAUGUGUCCUUUGGGUAUUGCCAUGAAAAAAGAAAAAUCUUGUAAAAGAAUUUUCC
ensembl:lincRNA